rnacentral:rRNA from 1 species
GAUGAACGCUAGCGACAGGCCUAACACAUGCAAGUCGAGGGGCAGCACGAAUCAAGCUUGCUUGAUUUGGUGGCGACCGGCGCACGGGUGCGUAACAGGUGUGCAAUCUGUCCAUAAUCGGGGAAUAGCCCAGCGAAAGUUGGAUUAAUGCUCCAUGUGAGUUUUAGAGGCAUCUCUUUAACUUGAAACGCAAGGAUUAUGGGUGAGCACGCUUCUGAUUAGGUAGUUGGUGAGGUAACGGCUCACCAAGCCGACGAUCAGUAGGGGUUCUGAGAGGAUGAACGGCCACAUUGGGACUGAGAUACGGCCCAGACUCCUACGGGAGGCAGCAGUGGGGAAUAGUUGGGCAAUGGGGGAAACCCUGGACCCAGCAACG